CCUACGGGAGGCUGCAGUAGGGAAUAUUGCUCAAUGGGGGAAACCCUGAAGCAGCAACGCCGCGUGGGGGAUGAAGGUUUUCGGAUUGUAAACUCCUUUUGUUAGAGAAGAUAAUGACGGUAUCUAACGAAUAAGCACCGGCUAACUCCGUGCCAGCAGCCGCGGUAAUACGGAGGGUGCAAGCGUUACUCGGAAUCACUGGGCGUAAAGCGCGCGUAGGCGGGAUAGCAAGUCAGAUGUGAAAUCCUAUGGCUUAACCAUAGAACUGCAUUUGAAACUGUUAUUCUAGAGUAUGGGAGAGGUAGGUGGAAUUCGUGGUGUAGGGGUAAAAUCCGUAGAGAUCAAGAGGAAUACUCAUUGCGAAGGCGACCUGCUAGAACAUAACUGACGCUGAUGCGCGAAAGCGUGGGGAGCAAACAGGAUUAGAUACCCCAGUAGUC
rnacentral:rRNA from 1 species